UACGUAGGGUGCGAACGUUAAUCGGAAUUACUGGGCGUAAAGCGUGCGCAGGCGGUCUGUUAAGACCGAUGUGAAAUCCCCGAGCUUAACCUGGGAACUGCAUUGGUGACUGGCAGGCUUUGAGUGUGGCAGAGGGAGGUAGAAUUCCACGUGUAGCAGUGAAAUGCGUAGAGAUGUGGAGGAAUACCGAUGGCGAAGGCAGCCUCCUGGGCCAACACUGACGCUCAUGCACGAAAGCGUGGGGAGCAAACAGG
rnacentral:rRNA from 1 species